rnacentral:tRNA from 1 species
GGAGGUGUAGCUCAGUGGUAGAGCGCAUGCUUAGCAUGCACAAGGUCCUGGGUUCAAUUCCCAGCUCCUCCA